rnacentral:rRNA from 1 species
GACGUAGGGCGCGAGCGUUGUCCGGAUUUAUUGGGCGUAAAGAGCUCGUAGGCGGCUUGUUGCGUCGGCUGUGAAAUCCCGUGGCUUAACUGCGGGCUUGCAGCUGAUACGGGCGGGCUGGAGUUCGGUAGGGGAGACUGGAAUUCCAGGUGUAGCGGUGAAAUGCGUAGAUAUCUGGAGGAACAUCAGUGGCGAAGGCGGCUACCUGGCCCAAUACUGACACUCAGGUGCGACAGCGUGGGGAGCAAACAGG